AGAGACCUUCGGGUCUCUAGUGGCGAACGGGUGAGUAACACGUAGGGAACCUGCCCGCGCACCGGGAAUACGCUCUGGAAACGGAGAACAAAUCCCGAUGUACAGGAAGGAGGCAUCUUCUUUCUGUGAAACAUCCUUUAGGGGAUGGGGCGCGGAUGGACCUGCGGUGCAUUAGUUGGUUGGCGGGGUAAAGGCCCACCAAGACGAUGAUGCAUAGCCGGCCUGAGAGGGCGGACGGCCACAUUGGGACUGAGACACGGCCCAAACUCCUACGGGAGGCAGCAGUAGGGAAUCUUCCACAAUGGACGAAAGUCUGAUGGAGCAACGCCGCGUGAGUGAAGAAGGGUUUCGGCUCGUAAAGCUCUGUUGGUAGUGAAGAAAGAUAGAGGUAGUAACUGGCCUUUAUUUGACGGUAAUUACUUAGAAAGUCACGGCUAACUACGUGCCAGCAGCCGCGGUAAUACGUAGGUGGCAAGCGUUGUCCGGAUUUAUUGGGCGUAAAGCGAGUGCAGGCGGUUCAAUAAGUCUGAUGUGAAAGCCUUCGGCUCAACCGGAGAAUUGCAUCAGAUACUGUUGAACUUGAGUGCAGAAGAGGAGAGUGGAACUCCAUGUGUAGCGGUGGAAUGCGUAGAAUUUUGGAAAGACACCAGUGGCGAAGGCGGGCUCUCUGGUCUGCAACUGACGCUGAGGGCUCGAAAAGCAUGUGUAGCGAACAGGAUUAGAUACCCUGGUAGUCCAUGCCGUAAACGAUGAGUGCUAAGUGUUGGGAGGUUUCCGCCUCUCAGUGCUGCAGCUAACGCAUUAAGCACUCCGCCUGGGGAGUACGACCGCAAGGUUGAAACUCAAAGGAAUUGACGGGGGCCCGCACAAGCGGUGGAGCAUGUGGUUUAAUUCGAAGCAACGCGAAGAACCUUACCAGGUCUUGACAUCCAGUGCAAACCUAAGAGAUUAGGUGUUCCCUUCGGGGACGCUGAGACAGGUGGUGCAUGGCUGUCGUCAGCUCGUGUCGUGAGAUGUUGGGUUAAGUCCCGCAACGAGCGCAACCCUUGUCAUUAGUUGCCAUCAUUAAGUUGGGCACUCUAAUGAGACUGCCGGUGACAAACCGGAGGAAGGUGGGGAUGACGUCAAGUCAUCAUGCCCCUUAUGACCUGGGCUACACACGUGCUACAAUGGACGGUACAACGAGAAGCGAACCUGCGAAGGCAAGCGGAUCUCUUAAAGCCGUUCUCAGUUCGGACUGUAGGCUGCAACUCGCCUACACGAAGCUGGAAUCGCUAGUAAUCGCGGAUCAGCACGCCGCGGUGAAUACGUUCCCGGGCCUUGCACUCACCGCCCGUCA
rnacentral:rRNA from 1 species